GCAAGCAAGUAGGGGAGGGACAGAGAGAGACAGGGAGACAUAGAAUCCUAAGUGGGCUCCAGGCUCUGAGCUGUCAGCACAGAACCUGACGUGAGGCUUGAACUCACAAACUGCGAGAUCACGACCUGGGGUGAAGUCAGACACCCAACCAACUGAGCCACCCAGGUGCCCCAUUGAUAGCCAUUUUAGUGUCUCUUCAAAGAAGUUAAGCCCUGUCACAGUUUAAAACCUUUAUAUUUCAGUACAUUGUAUACUUGAUUCUGGGGCGGGGGGGAGGGUGGGCAGUAAGAUGUGAGGGUAGUUGGGAACUAAAUCUAAUAACCUUUUUUUCCCAUUGCUAAAAAUUAUAAUUCUGAUAAUCAUUUAGGAUGAUCUUUCUUUCUUUCUUUCUUUCUUUCUUUCUUUCUUUCUUUCCUUAAGUAAUCUCUGCACCCACUGUGGGGCUCAAACUCAUGAUUCAGAGAUCAAGAGUCUCAUGUUCUACCAGUUGAGCCAGCCAGGUGCCCCUAAGAUGCCUCUAAAAAAUGAAAAUAAACCCAUUUUCCAGUUAGGAAUGAAACUGAAGAUUUUUGUCAUUGGUACUACAUUCUAAGCAGGGGAAACAUAGGAAAUGGCAAGAAGUGGUUUUAGUUUUUAAAGUAUAACCCUGUAUGGAGUUUAAACACACCAACUUUGCAAUGUUAACCAAGAUUUUUUUUUAUUAUUUGUACAAAAAACUUGGUGGUGACAAUGAUUUUGGCUCCUUCCCAUAAGCACUGUGUACUUAUGCCUAGUGACUUAGUCUAGAGUUAUCAACUAUGGGAAUACAAAGGGAGGAAACACUGGGGGAGGAACCUUUUAGAAUCCUGAGAAGAGGAAAUUGAUGUUUACACUGCUGUUGGCUAGUUUUGAAGCUUUUAAAAAUAAAGUUGCAUUGUAUGUCUCAAAUUUUGUACAAAGAAGACUAAUGCCAAUUGGAAAAUAGCAUUCUGGGAAGGUUUAUGACCUGAGUGGCUGGGAAACCCCCUCAGAGGCAAUGGCUCACUAGAAGGCAGUAGAGUGUGGUGAAGAACACAGCAGCUCUGAACAGAGCCUGUUUGCCCUUGGAAUAUGACUUUUUCGUUGACUCCGUUUUCUCAACUGAAAAAUAGGGGAAAGUUUUUUUUUGUACCUCGGUUGCAGGAGAUGAGGUAAGAAACUGGACGUAUAACAUGUAGCACAGAGUACAACGUCUGCAGCUUUAGCUCUUGUGAUUUCUUUAAUUACUAUUGAGGUCAUACAGUUUUCAUGUACUUAUUGGCUAUUUUAAUAUUUUGUUCUUUUAUGACUUCUACAGUCAUAUUGACUCUUUAUUUUGAUGCAAUGCCGUACUUAUAUAUUAUCAACCCAUUGUCAGACACUUAGUGAAUUAUUUUUGUUUGCCUUCUGGUUUUGUAGUGGUGAGUUUUUUAAAAAAAACAAAAUAGUCUCAGUUUUAUAUAUUUCAGUUAUUGAAGAAAUGCAAUUAUUUCAGUUGUUGAAGAUAAAUGCAAUACAUUUAUCUUCUCCAUUGUUUUUAUUUUUGUAAAAAUAUUCUCACACUAAGGUCAGAUAAUAUUUACCUAUAUUUUUAGUCUAGUUGUUUUGUAAUUUCACAUCUUAACUGUUUAAUUCUGGAAUUAAAUCUUACAUAUGUCAUGAUUAAUACUGUUUAAUAUAGAUUGUUACAAAUUCGUUCCACAUCAUGAAUUGAUGAGUUAUUUCCUCCACACCCGUUUAAAGUGCCACUUUUUUCUGAUUCCAGGUAAUUUGGUUGAAUGGAAUUGGACCUGAAAAAUAUUUUGGUGGGGAGCACCUGGCUGGUUAAUUCAAUAGAAAUGCAAGCUUCCUGAGAGGAGUGACCUUGUGUGGUGUGUUCAGCACUGUGUAUUCUCAGUACCUAAAAAUGUGACUGUUUCCUAGAAGUGCUCUCAACUACAUUCAGAGGACUGGUUGAGUAUGUCUAUGCAGACCAUGCUACUGUGUAUAAAUGAAGUUGGUAGGUGAAGGCAGUUUCUAAUUAAUUAAUGGAUAGCUUUGCAAGAGAAAGAAAGAAAAAGAGUAGAGUGGAUGGAGUAGAGAGCCCCUCUCCCCCAAUUUUAAUGUAACUGAACCUUCAUUGUGUGUGGAAGUAAACAGGUGGCUCUUUUGAGAUGUGGGUCAAUGGUUUAAAUGGUUUAGUCCAUUCCUAGAGAGACAUUGAUUAAAAUUUUUGUUUUAUUUUCGGAAUCUUCUAGAAUAUACCCUCCUUUGUUUUUGUGUGAUACUUAGUGGACUGGUGAUACCCUUCACUCACCUUUCUACAGAGAAUCUGUGAGAAAUAGAGUUGUGAGGGAGUGUGAAAAAAAGGUUAAAAAAUUUAAAUUUAACUACUUGUACGUGAAGAAUUUCUGUCUUAAAUAUCAUAAAUGCUUAUUUAUGAGUUCUAUUCUGAAAACAUGCUAAACUACUUUGACUUUUAAUUACUUUAUGUUUAGAAUACUUAAUCCUGUUCAUGUGUUUGAAAAUUUGCUAGUUAAUUGCUAUCCAAAAAAAUUCCUGGGGCACUUGGCUGGCUUAGUCAAUAGGGCUGUGGCUCUUGAUCUCAGGAUUGUGGAUUUGAGCCCUGCAUUGGGUAUAGAGAUUACUUAAAAAUAAAAUCUUUUUUAAAAAGUUCCUGAGAAGUAGAGAGAUAUUAUGACUUAUUUACAUAUUGAGAUAUGUAUUACAUAUAUUACAUUUUUACAUUACAUUAAUGUAAUUAAUAAAUUACAUUACAUUAAUAUUACAUUACAUAAUUACCUUACUACAUAUAUUGCAUAACUUAGAUCGUGGUAGGUUAAAUACUAAAGAAAUUAAGUCAGUGUAAAGUGUUUUCAUACUUUGAAAAAUUCUUUUAUUGAAAACCUCUUUCCAAAUGCUUGUGUUAAAAACAAAACUUUUAUAUCCAGGCUAUGUUCCAUGAAAUUUUUGCUCAUUGUUGUAUUAAUGUUUUGGGUGAUAUAAUUUAAUCUAUUGAGUAACUAACUGUAAUUAAAAAAUACUUCUGUAAUUUUGAGCCCUUAAUAUAACCAUGAAGAUAUUUUCCUGCUGACUUAACAGAUAUGGGUGGCAGUUUAUAGAGAGUAUGCUGUGAAGAUUACAGUUUCUUUUAUCCUUGAGUUAAGAAGUAAUUCCAAGCAGUUUUAGGCAGGGGGUUUUAAAAAUUGUCUUAGGAGAGUUUUCAUUUUAUUCUUUCAUUUUAUUCCUAUGUCAUAAUAAGAAUGUUUUAAGUUUGACAGAUACUCAAACUUGUUCUUGCUCGAAAUAUGAAAAUGGCAGGUCUGUAGAGUUUGCCAUCAUGAGACGAUGGACAAUGGCAGGAGAAGCAUCACUUUGGUUGUCACCAGAAAGACAACAAGCUAAAUGAAACUAGUAUCCAAAAGAAUUGGAAGAAGCUGUUUGGAGAAGAUAGACCUGAAAAUAAACAUUCUUUUUUCCAAUGAGAGAAAGCGGUUCAACUUGUAAGGGACUGGUUAAGUGCUUUGCCCCAAUUUUUUUUUUUUUUGUUAUUGUUUGUUUUGUUUUUUUGUUCUUUUAAUGGCAUAGCCAGGGCUAGAAUCUGGACGCCCACACUCUCAUAGGCCAGUUUUCAUUAUCAUGGCAGCAUUCUCCCUAGUUGGAGGUGAGCCCUUUUUCCUAGUCAACUUUUCAACCUACUUCUCCCCUGCAAAAGGAAGGAUUACAACAAUAUAAUAAGUAGGGAGUUUAUUAGUUUUCAUGUGUUGCUGUAACACAUUUAGCCAACAUGGUGGCUUAAAGAAUACGGUAUUUUAUAGCUCUGUUGGUUAGUAGUCUGGCACAGCUCUCAAUGGACUACAAAGUCAAAGUAUCAGAAAGGCUACAUUCCAUUCUGGAGGCUCUAGGCGAGAAUCCAUUUCCCAUCUUUUCCAGCUUCUACGAACUGCCUGUAUUCUUUGGCUCAUGGCCACUUUCCUUCCUCUGUACAGCUAGCAAAUGCUGAAGGAAUCCUCAUGCAGCCAUCUCUCUGGUUCUCUGCAAUUGGGGCAGAGUCUCGACUUUUAAAGAAUUCAUAUGAUUAGAUUAGGCUGAUUUUAUAACCCAGGAUAAUCUCUCCAUUUUAAGGUCCUUAACCUUAAUCACAUCUGCAAAGUCCUUUCUGUCCUGUAAAGCAGCAUAUUUACAAGUUCUAGGGAUUAGGAAAGAGGCAUCUUUUGAGACCUUAUCCUGCCCACCACAGAAAGCUUACAAAAUGUAUGGCUGAUUUUAUCAACAUUAAAUUCACACAUUGGAUAUUUUUAUUGACAACUAUAAAUUAAACUGGUGAUUGCCUACAGACACUAUGAAAUUUUGACCUAAUUCGGUGGGUGCAGCCAUCCCCUGCAUAAUUAAUGAGGAAAAAUCAGAUUAGAGAGUAGUGUUUCACCAAUUCAAACAUUUAAAACUCUGAGGUAUGGAUCUGAGCCUUAUAAAGUGACACAAUUCUCAGUUUAAUAUUUUUAGUGAACGGCUCAUGUCAAAUGAAGUUAAUUAAACAAAACUGAUUUGGGAAUGCAAAAAUUACAUUAGUUACCUCGUAUGUGAAUCAUCCUGGGUUUCUUUAGAUACUGAAGGGUAAUGGUGGGGCUGCCAGACGCAAAGGUGAGCCCUGGUAACCCUGAGUUUUGAAUAACGCUGUCAUUCAUUGAUCUGCCGUUAAGCCAUUUGCGUCAAAAGACACAGCAGAUGAAUCUGACAGGUAUGCCCUAACUGGUUUCCUAGGAAAGGCACAAUAUAUUCCCACAAUCAAUAACACUAGACUUGAGGCCAACAGCUGCAAAAAUAGUUUAUUUUAUUGUUCAUAUCCUGUGUUUAUCAUAGAUUUGAGCCAAUUCAUGGCACAUGUAUCCAUCCAUACUAAGCAUUAGGUCAUUUAUAUCUAACAGUAGUUUUUAAAACUUCUUUGCUAAACACCAGUGGUAAAAGAUGCAGAGGAGAGAGAACUGUAGCAUAUUACUUUUGGACAGAAAGCCUAAAAUUACUUUUUGCUGUGGUUCUCUGAAGGAAAAGAAUGGGAAGAAAAUCAGCUAUAUUCUUUCUCAUAUUCCUUUUUAUUUUUGGAAUCAUUUUCUAAGGAAAACUGAACACUACCUUACGACCCUUGCUUAGAAGACAUGAGCUUGUGGAAGGCACAUUUCUUUGCAAGAAGU